CGCGUGAGUACCUCUUAGCCGUGACAUCCGGGCGCAUCGCUGUUGUCAGGACUAAAGUAUUCGAGUUAUCACCUUUGUCGAUAGUAAGGUCAAAUCGGCUGGCACGCCUUAACGUUUGAAUCGGGUAUUAGCCCUUUGUGUUUGCAGAUCAGUUUUGCAUCAACACAUCUUUUGGCACGCCCGGUGGGACCGAUUCAAGAUCAAGAUCAACAUGU
rnacentral:lncRNA from 1 species